rnacentral:rRNA from 1 species
AUUGAACGCUGGCGGCAGGCCUAACACAUGCAAGUCGAGCGGAUGACGGGAGCUUGCUCCUUGAUUCAGCGGCGGACGGGUGAGUAAUGCCUAGGAAUCUGCCUGGUAGUGGGGGACAACGUUUCGAAAGGAACGCUAAUACCGCAUACGUCCUACGGGAGAAAGCAGGGGACCUUCGGGCCUUGCGCUAUCAGAUGAGCCUAGGUCGGAUUAGCUUGUUGGUGAGGUAAUGGCUCACCAAGGCGACGAUCCGUAACUGGUCUGAGAGGAUGAUCAGUCACACUGGAACUGGUACACGGUCCAGACUCCUACGGGAGGCAGCAGUGGGGAAUAUUGGACAAUGGGCGAAAGCCUGAUCCAGCCAUGCCGCGUGUGUGAAGAAGGUCUUCGGAUUGUAAAGCACUUUAAGUUGGGAGGAAGGGUUGUAGAUUAAUACUCUGCAAUUUUGACGUUACCGACAGAAUAAGCACCGGCUAACUCUGUGCCAGCCGCCGCAGUAAAAC